rnacentral:rRNA from 1 species
GUAGCACAAGAAGAGCUUGCUCUCGGGUGACGAGCGGCGGACGGGUGAGUAAUGUCUGGGAAACUGCCUGAUGGAGGGGGAUAACUACUGGAAACGGUAGCUAAUACCGCAUAAUGUCGCAAGACCAAAGUGGGGGACCUUCGGGCCUCAUGCCAUCAGAUGUGCCCAGAUGGGAUUAGCUAGUAGGUGGGGUAACGGCUCACCUAGGCGACGAUCCCUAGCUGGUCUGAGAGGAUGACCAGCCACACUGGAACUGAGACACGGUCCAGACUCCUACGGGAGGCAGCAGUGGGGAAUAUUGCACAAUGGGCGCAAGCCUGAUGCAGCCAUGCCGCGUGUGUGAAGAAGGCCUUCGGGUUGUAAAGCACUUUCAGCGGGGAGGAAGGCGAUAAGGUUAAUAACCUUGUCGAUUGACGUUACCCGCAGAAGAAGCACCGGCUAACUCCGUGCCAGCAGCCGCGGUAAUACGGAGGGUGCAAGCGUUAAUCGGAAUUACUGGGCGUAAAGCGCACGCAGGCGGUCUGUCAAGUCGGAUGUGAAAUCCCCGGGCUCAACCUGGGAACUGCAUUCGAAACUGGCAGGCUAGAGUCUUGUAGAGGGGGGUAGAAUUCCAGGUGUAGCGGUGAAAUGCGUAGAGAUCUGGAGGAAUACCGGUGGCGAAGGCGGCCCCCUGGACAAAGACUGACGCUCAGGUGCGAAAGCGUGGGGAGCAAACAGGAUUAGAUACCCUGGUAGUCCACGCCGUAAACGAUGUCGAUUUGGAGGUUGUGCCCUUGAGGCGUGGCUUCCGGAGCUAACGCGUUAAAUCGACCGCCUGGGGAGUACGGCCGCAAGGUUAAAACUCAAAUGAAUUGACGGGGGCCCGCACAAGCGGUGGAGCAUGUGGUUUAAUUCGAUGCAACGCGAAGAACCUUACCUGGUCUUGACAUCCACAGAACUUAGCAGAGAUGGUUUGGUGCCUUCGGGAACUGUGAGACAGGUGCUGCAUGGCUGUCGUCAGCUCGUGUUGUGAAAUGUUGGGUUAAGUCCCGCAACGAGCGCAACCCUUAUCCUUUGUUGCCAGCGGUCCGGCCGGGAACUCAAAGGAGACUGCCAGUGAUAAACUGGAGGAAGGUGGGGAUGACGUCAAGUCAUCAUGGCCCUUACGACCAGGGCUACACACGUGCUACAAUGGCAUAUACAAAGAGAAGCGACCUCGCGAGAGCAAGCGGACCUCAUAAAGUAUGUCGUAGUCCGGAUUGGAGUCUGCAACUCGACUCCAUGAAGUCGGAAUCGCUAGUAAUCGUAGAUCAGAAUGCUACGGUGAAUACGUUCCCGGGCCUUGUACACACCGCCCGUCACACCAUGGGAGUGGGUUGCAAAAGAAGUAGG